rnacentral:rRNA from 1 species
UACGUAGGGGGCAAGCGUUGUUCGGAUUCAUUGGGCGUAAAGGGCUCGUAGGUGGCUUUGUAAGUCGGAGGUGAAAUCCCACGGCUCAACCGUGGACGCGCCUUCGAAACUGUGGAGCUUGAGGCUGGGAGAGGAGAUCGGAAUUCCUGGUGUAGCGGUGAAAUGCGUAGAUAUCAGGAGGAACACCGGUGGCGAAGGCGGAUCUCUGGACCAGUUCUGACACUGAUGAGCGAAAGCCAGGGGAGCAAACAGG